GCGGUUCAAUUGGAGUCAACGCCAGGAAACUUACCAGGAGAGACAGCAGGUUGAGGGUCAAGCUGAAGACUUUACCUGACGAGCUGAGAGGAGGUGCAUGGCCGUCGCCAGCUCGUGCCGUGAGGCGUACCUGUUAAGUCAGGCAACGAGCGAGACCCCUGAUUGGUAAUUGCUAACNGUCCAGAGAUGGAUNGAGGCUAGUUACCGAGACUGCCGCUGCUAAAGCGGAGGAAGGAGGGGGCCACGGCAGGUCAGUAUGCCCCGAAACUCCUGGGCCACACGCGGGCUGCAAUGGUAGGGACAAUKGGUUCCGACUUCGAAAGAAGGAGGCAAUCCGCAAACCCUACCCCAGUUGUGAUUGAGGAUUGAAACCCGUCCUCAUGAAUAUGGAAUCCCUANUANCCGCGUGUCAUCACCGCGKCG
rnacentral:rRNA from 1 species